rnacentral:rRNA from 1 species
ACUCCUUACGGGAGGCAGCAGUAGGGAAUCUUCCACAAUGGGCGCAAGCCUGAUGGAGCAACACCGCGUGAGUGAAGAAGGGUUUCGGCUCGUAAAGCUCUGUUGUUAAAGAAGAACACGUAUGAGAGUAACUGUUCAUACGUUGACGGUAUUUAACCAGAAAGUCACGGCUAACUACGUGCCAGCAGCCGCGGUAAUACGUAGGUGGCAAGCGUUAUCCGGAUUUAUUGGGCGUAAAGAGAGUGCAGGCGGUUUUCUAAGUCUGAUGUGAAAGCCUUCGGCUUAACCGGAGAAGUGCAUCGGAAACUGGAUAACUUGAGUGCAGAAGAGGUAGUGGAACUCCAUGUGUAGCGGUGGAAUGCGUAGAUAUAUGGAAGAACACCAGUGGCGAAGGCGGCUACCUGGUCUGCAACUGACGCUGAGACUCGAAAGCAUGGGUAGCGAACAGGAUUAGAUACCCCGU